rnacentral:rRNA from 1 species
UAAUACCGGCAGCUCGAGUGGUAGCCGCGAUUAUUGGGCCUAAAACGUUCGUAGCCGGAUAAGUAAGUCUUUGGUUAAAUCCUGCGACUUAACCGUGGGAAAUCUAGAGAUACUGCUUGUCUUGAGACCGGGAGAGGUUGGAGGUACUCCCAGGGUAGGGGUGAAAUCCUGUAAUCCUGGGGGGACCACCUGUGGCGAAGGCGUCCAACUGGAACGGGUCUGACGGUGAGGGACGAAACCUAGGGGAGCGAGCCGGAUUAGAUACCCGGGUAGUCCUAGGCGUAAAUGAUGCGAGUUAAGUGUGGGGGCAUCUACGAGAUGGCCCUGUGCUGUAGGGUAGCCGUUAAACUCGCUGCCUGGGGAGUACGGUCGCAAGGCUGAAACUCAAAUGAAUUGACGG